rnacentral:rRNA from 1 species
UACGGAGGGUGCAAGCGUUAUUCGGAAUUACUGGGCGUAAAGGGUGCGUAGGCGGUCGGGUAAGUCUGGCGUGAAAUCUCCAAGCCUAACUUGGAAACUGCGUUGGAUACUAUCCGGCUCGAGGAAUGGAGGGGAGACUGGAAUACUUGGUGUAGCAGUGAAAUGCGUAGAUAUCAAGUGGAACACCAGUGGCGAAGGCGAGUCUCUGGACAUUUCCUGACGCUGAGGCACGAAAGCCAGGGGAGCAAACGGG